AUUGAACGCUGGCGGCAGGCCUAACACAUGCAAGUCGAACGGUAACAGGAAACAGCUUGCUGUUUCGCUGACGAGUGGCGGACGGGUGAGUAAUGUCUGGGAAACUGCCUGAUGGAGGGGGAUAACUACUGGAAACGGUAGCUAAUACCGCAUAACGUCGCAAGACCAAAGAGGGGGACCUUCGGGCCUCUUGCCAUCGGAUGUGCCCAGAUGGGAUUAGCUAGUAGGUGGGGUAACGGCUCACCUAGGCGACGAUCCCUAGCUGGUCUGAGAGGAUGACCAGCCACACUGGAACUGAGACACGGUCCAGACUCCUACGGGAGGCAGCAGUGGGGAAUAUUGCACAAUGGGCGCAAGCCUGAUGCAGCCAUGCCGCAUGUAUGAAGAAGGCCUUCGGGUUGUAAAGUACUUUCAGCGGGGAUGAAGGGAGUAAAGUUAAUACCUUUGCUCAUUGACGUUACCCGCAGAAGAAGCACCGGCUAACUCCGUG
rnacentral:rRNA from 1 species